rnacentral:lncRNA from 1 species
CCCCCGUGUCCCUUCCCGUUUGCAGGGAGCAGAGAGCGGCGCUGGGCCCGCCCUGGCCUGCUGGGCCCGGCCCGGCCCGCUGCGUAUUUUCCUUUACCCUGAAGGGGGUGGGGGAGGGGCAGCGGAAAGGUGGAAGGCCAGCAGAAUGGUGAGCCAGCCCCAGCCCCGGGCCCGGCGGAGCCAGCCGACCCUUCUGAUGCCGCAGCGUCGGGCACUGCCGGGAGUCAUCCGAGUGAUCAGAUAGUGCAGAAAAUAGAGGAAGUCCUCUCUGGGGCCCUUGAGACUGAGCCACAGCGUAAAUCAGAUGUAGAUGUAGACGCAGCAAAGAGUACAUCUCAGUCUUCAAAAAGAGGUCCUACUGAUGAAGUAGAAGAUGAAAUUCCAAGAAAAAAGUCCAAGAAAAACAAGAAACACAAAAGCAAGAAGAAGAAAAAGAAGAAGAAGAAGAAAAGGAAGAAAGAAAAAAAACAUAAGAAGCAGCCAAAGGAAUCAAAAUCGAGUGCACAACAUGGAGGGCAUACAGACUUACAACCUGCUU